GGAUGUGAGGGCGAUCUGGCUGCGACAUCUGUCACCCCAUUGAUCGCCAGGGUUGAUUCGGCUGAUCUGGCUGGCUAGGCGGGUGUCCCCUUCCUCCCUCACCGCUCCAUGUGCGUCCCUCCCGAAGCUGCGCGCUCGGUCGAAGAGGACGACCAUCCCCGAUAGAGGAGGACCGUUCUUCGGUCAAGGGUAUACGAGUAGCUGCGCUCCCCUGCUAGAACCUCCAAACAAGCUCUCAAGAGUCUGACACUUGCUUAACUGACUGCGCCACACAGGUGCCCCAUAUGUGUUUUAAAUAUAAUUGAGAUGUUAGUACCCUACCUUUUACC
rnacentral:snRNA from 1 species